UAUAGACUGGUUGAUGCACCAUUUUAAAACAAUUUUUGCUUUUAGAUAGAUUUAAAACCAAGAGAAUGGCAGAACAUUUGUAAACAUUUUCAAACAAAACACUGUUGCCAAAAACCCUGAAUUUGUAAAACUAAAAUAUAGUACCCCUCAACAGCGGAACAUUAAAAUACCCCUACUUCUAUUUUGACACUGUCUCUCACAAAGAAAGUUGAUUGCGUUAAAGGUUCUGUUUAAGUUGGACACUUACAUAUUGCUUUGCUAUUGUAUUAGGCUAAGAAAGGAUAAUUUAAAUGUCCCAACUCAUUUCAAAAGACAAACUAAAAAGAUUUUAAUUUUACCUCAGUAACUAAAAAGUCAAAGCAGAUUUCAAAUGAUAUUAUUAAUUGAAUGCCUGUUUAAGCUUGAUAGUUAAUGAACAUCAGCUGAGUUACAGAGGAAAUGUUUACUGGAAGAAUAUGACACAUUUGGGGAAAUCUUUCCCCAUCUUGCUUUGCUACUAUCAAUUAAAUUGCAUUGAUGGUUGUUGUUAAGCUCACUGAAGGAAGGAAGUCUUUAGCAAGUGAAGGUGACCUAACAGUACUGAGUAAAAUCAUUGGCAGCUACACUGCACCAAUCUCUGUAUGCUUUUACAAAGGACGGAAAAUUGCUGGCGCCACUGGGCCUCAAUUCGGGUCACCAUACAGCUGAAAAUACGAAAUACUAUGCUAUAUCAUGAUAAUGAAUGCACUGGAGGAAGGUGAGAGAUGGUAUGAGUCCCUGCGUGCAUUAAUCACCCGGGGCAAAAGGCUUCUGGCAGGCUUAUGCUGACAACUCUAGUUUCACAGCAUAAGCGACUGGAAAGAUUGCCUUCUUUGUCAAGGGGAGGCACCAGAAUAACAUUAGAAGCAUCAAAUAUCCUCCCUGACGCAGUAUGGAAAGCUCAUCUAGAAGGUGACAGGAUGAAAUCUGAAACCUGCAGAAGCACUUAGAGACAACGAAGAGCCAUUCACAACUGAAUGAGCCAAAAAAGCAACUUUUCCAAUGUACGCAAUCUUCUUGAAUUGGCCUGGGCAGACCAAGUGGAAGAUGGAAAGGAAAUAAUGUUCAAUGUCUUCACUUUAGAAACGUUUGGCCAUUGGCCAGGACAGGAUCUCCAGAUCAGCUCUGCCUAUGAAAAGAUGACCUGAAUUGAAGAGCACAGCGGAAAUAAUGCAGGCCCUCAUGCAGGGGAAGAGCAAUGUACUUAGAAAUAGGUCUAGUAAGGUGCAGACUUGCUCUGAUCCUGACUUUCAUCAUAAAAUAUACUGUACUAUGUCCAGCUACUCAGCUGACAAACUUCAUUGCAUGCUGAUUUAAACUAAUUUUAGGAGCAUUCCCUAUAACUUGACAGUAAUAUACAUAAUCGGAUACAGACUAUUACUGCCCCUAGUAUUUUUUGCUCCUUUGGCCGGUAGUACAAGCCCACCAACUAAAACCUUAUUGCAACCAAAAAAAGAAAUGUUUCCAUUAUUUUAACUAUUUUGCUUCAGGGUGACUGAAGAUUACUGAUAAAUUACAAAAGAAAAACUUUAGUUUUGACUCAGUAAACACCCCAGCAUAAGUGUUACAAUUUACAUAUUGAUUGAAUCAAUAAAUUAAAAAAUAUGAUUAAGGAAUACAAAGCAUCUGCUUUUCUUUAAUUUGCAAAUCUGAUCAAAGAUAGCUAUCUCAAAGAGAUUUUGCAGAUACUGAAAAUUAUUCCAGGGUGCUUAAAAUCAAUACUGAUGAUAUAAUUCAAGAUGUUUUGCUGUGUAAAAAUACCAUACAAACAAUGCCCUGUUUAAAAUGUUCUUGCCUGGUUGUAUAAACACAACCGCUGAAAUUCAUUCAACCAAUUCUCAUAGUCUAAAACACUAGGUAAAAUUAAAAAGAUCAGCUAAUUUUAGUGAAUAUUAUCUUAAGCGGUAACUGAACACAAAUAAAGGCUUAACUACAGAUAUGGGAGCUAUUAAUUCCCCUCAGCUGGUCUGAAAGAAGAGAAUUUGCACUUUAUUCUACAUAAAAUUUAGAUAAUGCAUGACCAGAGAUAUACUCUAAACGAUGCAGUUUUGAACUUGUACUGUUGUGAUAGCUUCUUUCAGAUGAGUUUUCUUUCCCAAAAUGGGCCCUGAAUGAACAAGCUAGUUGUGGCCCUGCCCCACACAAAAAAAUAGUGAAAAUGAAAAAGGAAAUGCCUUUAAACCUUUAGGAUAGUCAGCCAUUUCUUCAAAAUAAUGAUGACCAGGAAAUUCCUUUAAUUUUGAUGAUAUACUUGAUUCAAUUCUACCGCUAUCAGCAUCACACAGGCUGAAAGUCUCCGCUCAUUUAAACCUGAGUUUAUAGAAUUUUUAAAACUUGGCACUAAAAGUAGGUCUCUUUCACAAAUCUGCUAGAGUGAACCCACGCGCAUUCAAAGUUACUGCUAAUUGCACUCAUUUCUAGGCUUUCAAACAAGCUUUAAAAUGCAAGAUGGCUCUUCUAGGUUCAAUGACACAGCAAGGUAUAUUUUGAAAAGUUUGAGGCAUUUUUUUUUAAGAACUUACGAAGGAACUAACUUUCUCCAAUCCAAAUGAGAAAAAAACAUUUUGUGCAUUUUAGGUGGAUUAUUUUCUGUGCCUACAAUUGCCUCUCUUUUGCUACUUUCAGCUAUAUUAAUUAAACAGCAUUUAAUCAACAUUCUAAAUGCACGAAGGUUUUGUUUAAAACAUUUUUAAUAUAUAUGUUGUGUGAUUAUAUGGGCUUGUGGAAGAGAAUGCAUUUGGCAAUGUGACUUUGAAAUCAAAUUGGAAUGUGGUAGUUUGGUGAAUUGUUGGGAGAGUAAAAUACUUCAAAUAAAUGUUCAUUGAACAGUGGGAGUAAUGGUGAUUGCUGGCUGAACCCCUCCCCCACAUAUACACACAGGGGACUUCCGGUGCUCUCCCAUUUUUGUAACGCAGGAAAUAAGCAUAGCAGUCCACUUUCUCACAGAUACAAAUUGAGGACAUAGAUGUAGGUUUCAGGCUAUAACUGCCUAAGGUUAGGUGCUCAUAUAGGCAUACAUACACGCACACACACCAAAUAUAAAUGUGAACUGAACCCCUUUCUUAUGUUCCACUAUUGUUUUCUUCAGCCUUUGUCAUGUCUAAAUUGCUAACUGUAAAAGGAAUGUUGUGAGGGCACCCGAAGGUUCGAUCCCUGUGUGUCAAACUAAAUAGGCAUUAAAUUUACCAGCCACAACAAUGAAUGUUGCCACUCCACUAAACCACAUACAUGAUCAAGACUAAGACAUGGAGACACAGAACACAACACAGAAACAUGCCCUUUGGUCCAUCUAGUCCAUUCUGAACUGUUAUUUAUUUGAUUUUGUUUGUUUUGUAUGUGUACACCUCUAUAUUUAUUAAUAAAGUUAAACAGAAAGUAACAGGAAUUACAUUUUUCAUUGUGGAUGUCUAGUUCCUAUAUACCUCCAUUCCCCAUCAGGAGAGCCUUUAAGCUCAUAUAGGCAUACAUACACGCACACACACCAAAUAUAAAUGUGAACUGAACUAGUCCUCACCCUCAAUAACUUCUUCUUCAGCUCCUUCCACUUCCUUCAAACCAAAGGUUUCAACAUAAGUUUCAAACUUUCAAACCAUAGG